rnacentral:lncRNA from 1 species
AAUCAAAAUGCUUAACAAAAAAGCUCAAUACUCUCAAAUAACUAAUUUCUAUACAUCCAUGGCUGGACUUCAGUACAAAUUCUUCCCCACUGAUUUCUUCUUUCCUCCUCAAAAGUUCGCCAGUCGAGACAUCGCUACUCAACAGCAAAUUCCACUGGUGAAAUCCCGAAAUACCGACGAAUCGGAUGAGCCAAAACAGCCCAAAAUCACCACCAUCAACACCAAAGCAAUUCCUUCCUCCGCCACAAGCUUGGUUCCGAUUAAGAAAUCAAAUUAAAUCAAGGUACAGUUUGAUGAACAAGUUUUUUUUUAUAAAGACUGUUAUACAGAAUAUAAAUCUUAUUAUUGAUAAAUUUAGUAUCAAUUUGUUAGAUCGAGUCGUUCAGAGUGGGAUGAGCAUUUGAGUGGCCUCAUUAAUUUUUUAAAGGCUUCUCAAAUAAUAACAUCAAAGAUUGUUGUGUAAUGUAUCAAAUUACUUUAUGUGAUGUUGUUUACAGCAGUUAUGGAUUAUUGUUUAUGAUUUGGUUGGAUUAUUAUUUUCCAAGAAAUUACGAGAGGCAAGUAACCAAAAUUAGGUCACCUAAUUGAAUAAAAUAAUACUAUAAUGUAAUUAGAUUCAAAGUUUUGUUUGCUUGAUUUUUUCUAUAUUUUCAUACAUGUUUUUCAACUAGAUAAUGUUUUCAUAAUAAACAUUAUAUUUUGUUACUUUUUUUUCGUAAUAAAUUGUUUUAAGAGUUCAUGAGAGCAAAAACGUUGUCAGUUAAACCUUUAAGCCCGCAAUUUGCAUAGCCAUGUUUCAUAUUUUAAACAAAAUAAUAAAUUCAAAUGGACAAGUACCAAAUAAAAUAUCAUGGAUCAUAUAAGGAUCGUGCCAAUUAAGACCCUUACAUGGAUCGAGCCACCUACCUACCCAAUCAAUACGACUGGUUUGACAUCCUUAAUUGAAAGUAUCGACCCAUUCCAUGUUUUCAAUUUGCAAUUUUAUGAAUAAAAAAUGAUGCCCUAAAUAAAUUGCAUCUUGCUAGCCUACAAAAGUUGGCUACAAGUUUUGUAACAUAUUAAAAGCCGGUACCCUUCAAGGACGAAAAAUUUAAUAUUCAAAGACUUAUAAGUUUUGUUAGUUGCACACGCUAAUCCCAUCAUAUGUUGACUGUAAAAAUUUAAGGGAUUACUUGUUCAACAAAAAUAUAAGUAAUAAACCG